CCCAGAGCCUGUACCCUGAACCCCUCCUGCACCCCAACCCCCACCACACACCAACCUGCUCCUGCAGCUCUGCCCUGAACCCCGUUGUACACCCCGCACCUCUCCUGCACCCCAACUCCUUGUCCUGAGCCCAUUCCUGCAUACUGCACCCCUCCCACACUCCAACCAUCUGCCCCAGCCCUACAUUCAUGGUCCUGCAUGCAAUGCCCCCACCCAGAUGUGGCCCUUGGGCCAAAAAGUUUGCCCACUCCAGACCAGGAUUUGCUGAUUAAAGAACAAUGAGUCUGUGGAGUUUGAACUGGGACAGCAUGUAGUAAAGAAGAUCCAGGACAGGGACAGAUUGGAGGAGAUGGGCAGAAGGAGGCAGACUGUGGGGAUGGCAGAAGAGUCUGUGCCUACUAGAGAACACUCCCCUCCAGAGCCUGAAAUGGAACCCAAGACUCUUGGAAUCUCAUCAGUUCUCUGCUGGGAAGGAACCACUAAGUCCAGGUUACAGUUGAUUGCUGGGGACAACAAAGGAGAAAAGAGAAACAGGAGUGAAGUUAAAGAUUGAAAAUCUAUGGAAACAGAGCAGAGAAUCCCAGAAAGCACCCACCACUUUUCAAAGGCAUCCAAGGAAACAGUGGACACUGCCCAGAGAAACUCCACCUGGAGAUGUGAGCAGACAAGGGACAAUAAAAAGGCCCCACAAUUGCAGAGCACCCCCCACCCCAUCCAGCUUCCUCCUCUUGGAGUGAUAGAUGGCCAUCUUGGCCAGUGUCCAGAGGAUGUUGACAAGGAGGUCCCAUGACUUUGUGGGGCCAUAGAUGAAGUGUACAUAAAGCAGGAGACGUGGGGGAAAGGAGCAGCCAGAACCUCAGGAGGGUAUCAGAAGAAUUUGUGAACCAUGCCAGUACAUGCCUGUGCUUAUAGCUCCAUGUAGGAACUGCCAAUUAACAUUUCUGGUAGGCCAUGGAAUUACAGUGGAGUACAGACAGGCCCACCAGGAUUCCUCACCCUCCACUGGUGGCAAUAGCUUCCUCCACUUGGUGUUGGAUGGGACACAAGGGUGAGGAAGUGAAUGGUAUGAAGAAUGAAUGCUUACAGAUAUUCUCUGGGCACAGCUUGGAGGCAGACCUAGGUGGCAUGUUGGAGGCAGCUGGGGGGGGCUCGUAGAGCAGGGGCCCGAUAAUGAGUUCUGGAGGGCCAGAGAUGAGGGGGUGGACACAAAGCACACUCAUGCAGGACCCAUUCAAGGAAAGUCAGAAUCAGGAGCCAAAGCUGCCCUCACUUCCCAGAGCACACAACAUUGGAGACACAGGGUGGGCAGCCUCAUGCACUGGCCGAGCACCACAGGGUCCACCCAGUGUCUCAGAUCAAUUCUGGUGGCACCAGCCAGAACUAUCCUUUGGAACACCAAGGGUGACACCACCACCUGAACACAGAGAUGGGAGCUGUGUGUAGCAGGAGUUCUGCAGCACACCGUGGAACUUUUAUUGCAUGGGGGUGUUAUUGUGUGGCAGGCUAGUGUGCUGUAUAUUUACAUCCCAGCUUACUGUGCACUGCCAGUGUAGACAUGCCCUCACUCCCUGUGUGAUUCAUCUCCUGGGUGUGGUACACAGCAUGGCAGUUACCUGACUUAGAGGUAUAGGAAGGACCCUGCAUUAACUUGAUUAGCUGUUUGCUAAUUUGAGGAGUCCCUAGUGAAAAUGCUGAUCAAAACCCCCACGCAACAAUUGAAUGGGUCUUUUGGUUCUGUCCCACACUCCAGCAUAUAUCCUAUGUUGCUAGUUACUCGUUAUUUAUUAUGUAGUUAUCAAAUAAAACUUUGUAAUAUGUGUUUUGCAUGAAUUAGUUAAAUAUAUUGUAAAACAAUAUACCAAAGAGAAGCUGAAACAUGAACAUUGCCUUUAUGUUGUAAAAAGUUUAACACUGUGUGGCAGGUGUUCUUCAUACUGUAAUGCAGUUCUAUUUGUAGAACAUGACAAAUGGAAUGGGCAAGAUAAACUGAAAUGUUACUAUUUAUUUCUUAUGUAUAAGAUUAUUGUAACAAUGUUUUUAAAAGUGCAAGAUGAAUUCCAUACAUGUGUUCAGGGCGUAGCAGACUGUUGGGAACCAAGUGUUUCCUCUUUUUAUACUCCCUUAUAAUUUAUAAUGGCUGCACUAUAUAUUUUGAGUUUUUACAAUACUUUCCUCAUUGCCAGAUAGUUUGGGGUUCAAAAAUAAAAUCACAAAACCUCUGUUAAAUGUGUUAUUGUUUUGGUUCUUUAAAUAAAAAAAAUUGUUAGUA